GUGUACAGAGGCCUUCCAAAGUUUGGACAGAGGUCUUUCCCAGUGUUGCUACUUAAGAUCCUUUUAAUUGAAGAUUUGGACCUUCUUUUUGCAAAGCACACAUUCUGUGACCUUGGAGCAUAGGCAAAAAUGUCAGGCCAUUGGUUCAUCUUGCUGGGUUGGAUAGUUCAGAAAUGUAUGUGAAGAAUGUGCUCUUUUCUUCCAAAUGGUGGUCUGCUGCCAUAUUCUUGUGGGUGUUUUACAACACCCCUGUAAAAAGGUCAUGCAUUUCAUAGACCGGUUAUUAGAACUGAAAGAGGGUGAAUUGUUGAAGAACACACAGUGAGUCUGGGCCAAUUCUCUAUGUACUUUAUCCACAAUCAUUUCUUUCUCUCAUUAGAAGCAUGUCACCAUCUCUCAGCUUCAUGUUCCCAGUUGCAGUAUGGGAAUGACCAUGUUUUGCUGCAUUAAGAAGACUGUACAGCUGCAUAUUCACAGUGUGUCCUCCUUGGACACUUGACCAUCUUUCACAGCCUUUUACUCAUUGCAUGUUCACAUCAAAAUACAGUGUGGUACCUAGUUAUGACUAUUUUUCAAAGAGCAUUAUAGUAUCUUUUGAGCAUCAACAAAUAUGUGUAGUACUCUGCAGUAAGUACCCUUCACUGGGAUAAGAGGGUGCUUCUUCUGAAGCAGCAAGCUAUCAGUAACUUAUAGCAUCUUAUUAUACACAUUGUUUGAAAUCAGAUGUAGUAUAAACAUUGCUUGAAAAGUUCCAUUGGAAAAAAGAAACUAGUUCAACUUUAUCCCGUCCAAAAAGGUACUAGUUCAUUUGUCCUUUUACAAAAUAAUUUAGUUCAAGUUCAUAAAAAGUUUAUCCUUGGCAAAACAAAAAGAGUGUUCAGAAUGUUACAAGCUGAAAUAUAGGGUCCAAAUGGAAGCCAGGGAGCACACAUAAGUAGUAAAGUGUCUGACAGACAGAAUGUCAACAGGUGAUGUUUUCCUCAUAAAUGUAUUUCCAUACUAG